UUCUUCUUUUCCAACCAAGUCUUGAACUUAAAACAGUCUUUCUGCCAGUGACCCUUCUUUUUACAGAACUUGCAUUGAUCAUUUUUCUUUAUAACUGCUUUGGGACCACUAAGAUUUUUAUUCUGCUGACUUCGGUGGGACUUAUUACCCUUACGAAACUUAGGUUUAUGAUUAUGAGAAGGCCCCUUAUUCUGUGAUGGCUGAAAAGCUAAUUGCACAGUUUCAACAGUUUCACGGCGCAUCCUAUACUCUUCUUGGGCACACACUGCUAUGAGGUCAUUCAAAUUUCACUUAUCCCGCUGAGCAUUGUAAGCAACCUUAAGCUGAUUAAACUUGCUAGGAAGGCUAUUCAAAACAUGAUAGACCAGGAA
rnacentral:lncRNA from 1 species